rnacentral:ncRNA from 1 species
UAUGGCGGGUGCGGGGGUGAGAGCGAGUAACCUUUCGCUGUUCCUGAACGCCGGUGUCAAAGAAGUGCACAGUUCAGCCGGGCAAUGGUUGCCCUCCGAUAUGCGAUACCGCAAUCCCGGACUGUCAAUGUCAACGGAUCCUGAAGCUGAUGAGUAUUCGCGUUAUGCCGUCGAUGGUGAGGCGGUUGCCGCGAUGAGAGAAAUCAUUGAGCGUCAUGUGUAGCUAAAAGUUUUUACCGCGUGUCAUAUUCGCCCAAUAUGAUGCUUGCUUGUACCAGGCCCCUGCCCAUUAAACAGGGGCCUUUUUU